GACGAGUCUCACAAACGUUAUUCGGAAUUACUGGGCUUAAAGGGUGCGUAGGCGGUGAAGUAAGUCGGAUGUGAAAUACCUUAGCUUAACUAGGGAACUGCACUCGAUACUACUUUGCUAGAGUAAGACAGAGGCGAGUGGAACUGAGGGUGGAGCGGUGAAAUGCGUUGAUAUCCUCAGGAACACCGGUGGCGAAGGCGACUCACUGGGUCUUUACUGACGCUGAUGCACGAAAGCUAGGGUAGCAAACGGG
rnacentral:rRNA from 1 species